AUUCUCUCCAUCUCUCUCCGUCUCCUCUUCUGUUUCUCUUCUCUCUUCCCCGUCGGAGAGAAGAGAGAAGGCGAGCCGGAGAUGGGAUCGGACUCGCCGCCGACGAGAUGGGGACCCAGGGAGCAGCGCGAGACCUACCUCCGCUGGUUCUCACUCGCCGACGACGACGGAGACGGGCGCGUGACGGGGAAAGAUGCGCUCAAGUUCUUCGCCAUGUCGAAUCUCUCCCGGCCCGACCUCAAGCAGGUUUGGGCAAUUGCGGAUUCCAAGCGUCAGGGUUAUCUUGGAUUUUCGGAAUUUAUGACUGCAAUGCAGCUGGUUUCUCUUGCACAAGCUGGGAACGAGAUCAGUCAGGACAUCCUUGCACAUGCAGAUUUGGAUAUGUUGAAACCCCCGACAAUGGAAGGUCUGGAUAAAAAACUAAAAAAGAAUUAUGUGAGCAAGAGCCACUCCAAUAUUGUCGUAUGUCAUCCAUCAGAAUCGCCUGCAUCAGCCAACUGGUUUAACUCCAAGUCAGGAAAGAAGAUUCCUCUAAGAUCAGUUACUUCGAUCAUUGAUGGGUUAAAGAAAUCAUACAUUGAGAAGUUGAGGCCCCUAGAAAAAACAUAUCAGUUCGAUGACUUUGUUUCACCUUUGCUGACUAGCAGUGAUUUUGAUGCGAAGCCAAUGGUCAUGUUACUGGGCCAGUAUUCCACGGGAAAAACCACAUUCAUAAAGCAUUUACUGAAGACAAGUUAUCCAGGUGCUCAUAUUGGUCCGGAGCCUACAACCGACAGAUUUGUUGUCAUCACAUCUGGACCUGAUGAAAGAUGCAUCCCUGGAAACACAAUUGCCGUGCAAGCUGACAUGCCUUAUAGUGGCCUAUCAUCUUUUGGGACAGCAUUUCUAUCGAAGUUCGAAUGUUCUCAGAUGCCUCAUCCACUAUUGGAGCAUAUAAACUUUGUGGACACCCCUGGGGUUUUAUCAGGUGAAAAGCAGCGAACACAACGCAGCUAUGACUUCACUGGAGUUACAUCAUGGUUUGCGGCCAAGUGUGAUCUUAUUCUUCUCCUAUUUGAUCCCCAUAAGCUUGAUAUCAGCGAUGAGUUCAAGCGUGUAAUUGGAUCACUUCGAGGGCAUGAUGACAAAAUACGUAUAGUUCUAAACAAAGCAGACCAAGUUGAUGCACAACAGCUCAUGAGGGUCUAUGGAGCACUGCUAUGGUCGCUUGGAAAAGUCCUGAACACACCAGAAGUCAUGCGUGUCUACAUAGGUUCAUUUAACGACAAGCCGAUUAAGGAGUCAGCAGCUGGGCCAUUGGGUAUAGAACUGUUUGAGAAAGAACAGGAUGACCUGCUCUCCGACCUGAACAACAUUCCAAAGAAAGCCUGCGACCGUCGAAUCAACGAAUUUGUGAAGCGUGCGAGAUCAGCCAAGGUCCACGCGCACAUCAUCAGCCACCUGAAGAAGGAGAUGCCGGCCCUGAUGGGCAAGGCCAAGGCACAGCAGCGGCUGCUGGACGGCCUCGACGAGGAGUUCGCCAAGGUUCAGAAGGAGCUGCACCUGCCGGCCGGCGACUUCCCCGGCGUGGACGAGUACAGGGAGGCCCUGAGCGCCUACAACUUUGACAAGUUCGAGAAGCUGAAGCCCAAGCUGGUGCAGGGCGUCGACGACAUGCUGGCCUACGACAUCCCCGAUCUCCUCAAGAGUUUCAGGAACCCCUACGAAUGAGCAAGCAACCAGAGGCCGUGUUCGAGUUUCACAGAAAAGAAAAUAAAAGAAAAUGAUUUUUAUCAUCUAUCUAGCGGCAUCAGCAAAGUGAAGCUUGAACAGCACUGUUUGGGCCUGGCCUUGCAAGGUCGAAACUUGUAAUGGGCUAGGCCCAUCGGCCAUGAGGCGAGCUGACCCGUCUGAACAGGUGUGUCACGACUAGGGUUCACAACAUAUCAGAUCAAAGACCGCUCACGACUAGAUUCAGUUGUGGUAUCUCCGUAUUUUACAAAAACUGAAGAUAUAAACUAAAAAAACUGAGCCGUUUUUUAUUUAAAAGAAGAAAAAAAGAGUCAAAUUGUAU